rnacentral:rRNA from 1 species
UUUCAACAAGAAAGAAAAGGUAAAAUCUAACAUAUUUUAUCAUUGACGUUACUUGUAAAAGAAGCACCGGCUAACUCCGUGCCAGCAGCCGCGGUAAUACGGAGGGUGCGAGCGUUAAUCGGAAUUACUGGGCGUAAAGAGCACGUAGGCUGUUAAUUAAGUCAGAUGUGAAAUCCCUAAGCUUAACUUAGGAACUGCAUUUGAAACUAAUUAACUUGAGUUUCGUAGAGGGGGGUAGAAUUCCAGGUGUAGCGGUGAAAUGCGUAGAUAUCUGGAGGAAUACCAGUGGCGAAGGCGACCCCCUGGACGAAUACUGACGCUCAGGUGCGAAAGCAUGGGGAGCAAACAGGAUUAGAUACCCUGGUAGUCCAUGCCGUAAACAAUGUCGACUUGAAGGUUGUAAGCUUGACUUAUAGCUUUCGUAGCUAACGCGUUAAGUCGACCGCCUGGGGAGUACGACCGCAAGGUUAAAACUCAAAUGAAUUGACGGGGGCCCGCACAAGCGGUGGAGCAUGUGGUUUAAUUCGAUGCAACGCGAAAAACCUUACCUGGUCUUGACAUCCAUGGAAUUUAAUAGAGAUAUUUUAGUGCCUUCGGGAACCAUGAGACAGGUGCUGCAUGGCUGUCGUCAGCUCGUGUUGUGAAAUGUUGGGUUAAGUCCCGCAACGAGCGCAACCCUUAUCCUUUGUUGCCAUCAGCUAGGCUGGGAACUCAAAGGAGACUGCCGGUGAUAAACCGGAGGAAGGUGAGGACGACGUCAAGUCAUCAUGGCCCUUACGACCAGGGCUACACACGUGCUACAAUGGUAUAUACAAAGGGAAGCAUCCUCGCAAGAGUAAGCGAAUCUCACAAAAUAUAUCUUAGUUCGGAUUGGAGUCUGCAACUCGACUCUAUGAAGUCGGAAUCGCUAGUAAUCGUAGAUCAGAAUGCUACGGUGAAUACGUUCCCGGGCCUUGUACACACCGCCCGUCACACCAUGGAAGUGGGUUGUAAAAGAAGUAAGUUGCUUAACCUUUUUUU